rnacentral:lncRNA from 1 species
AUUCUGAGAUGUGUCAUCUCGGUGCUGAGGAAUGUGCAUUGGAGGCAGUGCUGGAGGUGACACUGUUGCUCAAGUAUGGCUGGUUAUGGUUAUGAAGCAGGCUGCGCCUGCUUCAUCCAUGGACAGAUGCUCACUCUGCCUGCCCCAACUCUUCUUGCUGCCACAGUUCUCCCUUUGGCUCUGCCAGCAGAAGAUGUCACUGUUCUCAAACCUGCACCCUUCCGAAAACAAGAGUGAGUCAUCACAGCAGAGAAGCAAUGGAUUUGUGGUCUUAAUGGACAUGCCAAGGAAUUACCAGGGCCUCAUGGCGGUGCAUCCGCCUGAAACGAGCAUCAUCACUGGAUUUGACAGGCACACCGAUGUAGCUGGAGAAUCUUACUUGAAGAGGUUCUCCCAGUAGAAAUGUGGUGGGGUAAGGGGAAGGGGAAGGUGGAGUGCAGGGUGUGGUAAACAUGCUUAUUUCCUUUGGCCUCCAAACAGAUGGCCUCUUUUGGUUUCAGUUUGGCUGGGUUACUUGUAAUAGCCAACAGAGCAUUGCAACGCAGCAAGAAUCCAUGUUGUAAUGGUACUAUUUGGCAUUGCAAUGCAAGCCUGACUUCUCAGAGGUCUGGUCAACAAGACCUGAUGGCCUUUUUGUUUUGAGAGGCCUCCUUGUCCCACUGACCUAAAAGCGCCUUGCUUUCAUUAAGACCUGUGACACUAACCUGCUUUGUGAUCUUGGGCACAUCAGUUGGGCUGGGACUCAAAUCACCCUGGUUUAGUUGGGCCUCUAGGCAAAGUUGGCUGUCUAGAUUUCACCUAAGUAUAAAAGCCUAUGUUAGUCUCUUUUCUCAUGCAAGGAAAGUCUCAAGUUGCACCAGAUGAGGUUUUGAUUGGAUAUUAGGAAGAAUUUCUUCAUGGAGAGGUUGGUCAAGCAUUCACAGGGAAGUAGGAGAGUCCCCAAUCCUGGAGGUAUUUAAGAGAUAUGUGGACGUGGCACUAAGGGACAUGGUUUAGUGAUGGGCCUCAGUAGGUUGAAAUUGGUGAUUUUUAAGGUCUUUUCUAACCCAAAUGAUUUUAUGAUUCUAGAGUGAUUUGCAUGUGGAUGUUAAGUCUUUCAGCUAUGACUGGUGGCCACAGAUGCAGGAAUGUUCUUUUAUUGUUCACCUUUGCAGUAGAGAUUGUUUUUAUCAUUU